CUCCUCUCUCCCUCUCUCGGCCGCACGACCCCUUCUCUCUCUUGCACGUCGUUCUUCUGCUAGCGCCGGAAAAUGCUAGUUUCCGGCCACCACCUCUCGUCACCGCCACCACCAAUCGGUCCGACACCUAGUUUCGACGCAAGCCCAGGCCAAAUCGACGAGUUCUACCGAGCCUAGCCACCAUGCACAGAAACCACAGUCCCCGCGAUUUUGUCUCCUUCAAUUCCGGCGACUCCCUCAGCUCACCGCUGCCGCCAACGUGUUUGGAUCAAGCCAAGCCACAAAACCCAAAUGUUUCUCCUCCAAUCGACGCCGGAAAGCUGCUAUAUGCAUCACUGCCGGUGACUCCGAAUCUGCUUGUCCUCGUUCUCCAAUCUCCAGCCCAAAUUGAGCUGCACAACCACCAAAGUUGGAAUCAGAGCCUCCUCAUUCUUCAAAACCCUUUGGUCCCGACCUUUGCUUCGGCCAGAACCGUUGCACGCGCUGCCGCUGCCGUGUGGACCACCGUGGCUCCGCCACCGGAAUUCCAGGCCACCUGUAUUAAUUUUUGAUUAUGAGUUAUGAAGUUUUUGGAGAAAGGAAUGGGCAUUGGUUCAGUUUGAUGUAUAAUGAAGGAAGGAAGGAGUUCGAAUGGUUGUUGGUGGUGGAGGACUACACUUAUUUAGAAUUGGCCCUCUGUUUGAAGAUGAAGAAUUGGACUCGAGCGUGACUACUUGAGAUAGAACGAAAGCUCAAUAUCGAAAAUGAUUGAACGGAGAAAUUUCCGAGCCCUUGACUUGGGAUGGAUGAGUUGACGAUUAUUGCAUUUGAAUCACUUGUGCAGGUUAGAUUAGUCGUGGUCGGGCGUACAUGGAGUCGAGGCAUAGUCCACAACAUAGCUUCCGUGCAUUCAUUUUAUUUCUAUUUUCCUUAUUUAUCUGUUAUUAGAGCUGCUCUGAUAACCUGUGGGAUUCAUGUUAUCAAGUUAUCAAGUUGAUAGUUGUACUUUUUGAAAUGGAAGUUGAUGUUAUUUGGGGAGCAGGGCGGCUCCAGGAGAAUAAGGAUGGAUUGAUUUAGAAGUGUAAAAUUUUCCUACAAGUUUGGGUAGCCUACUUUUAGGGGAAGUUCUGCCAAAUUUUUGGUAGAAUUUCUUCUAAGGUGGGCCCCGCAGGGUCACUCCGGAUUUUGGGGUGAAAUCCGGGGCGGGUC